AGUUGCGAAUGGGCAAUUGCCGGAUGUGAAUCCGGAGGAAAGUCCGAACUCCACAGAACAGAGUGCCGGGUAACGCCCGGGCAGCAAUUGGGUAACCGGUUGUUGACUGACAGUACCACAGAAAAAAUACCGUCCCGUUAAUCGGGAUAAGGGUGAAAAGGCAGGGUAAGAGCCUACCGCUGCUGCAGUAAUGCAGGAGGUCCUUCAAUGGAGUCCCCCAUGGGAUCAUGGUAAACCACACUCGGAGCAAGAUCAAAUAGGAGUAUUAUUUCCUCAAGGAAACGCAGUGGUUCGCUGUGAUUAAUACUCGGGUAGAUUGCUUAAUCCUUUCAGUAAUGAAAGGAUAAGAUAAAUAAUUGCCGGCUCCGGUUUUCCGGAGCUACAGAAUUCGGCUUAUAGUUCGCAGCUAAAU
rnacentral:RNase_P_RNA from 1 species